UAGUUGUCCGGAUUGCAUAUGGAUGGAUUCCCAUGUCAAAUUCUGUCUGCAAUUUAGACCUGAAAAAUAAAGAGAAAUCCUAAAAUUAAGUUUCUUUUGAGAUAAACUUUGAAUUAAACGUUGAAAGGACAACAACUUUAUAAUGAUACUAUGGUUAGUUUGUCUUUCCCAUGGGAGAGUAUAAGGGACUUUGCAUUUAUUAAUAGGGAAUAGGGAGCAGUAGACAAAAUAUAAGUAGGCUUGACUUUCUCCCGAUGAAAGCUCCAAACAUUUCGCUAUUGCUCCUCAUAGUUGAAGUAAUGACAACGAUUCUACUUGUUCUCCCUGAAGGGGUCUCCAACCGUUUUGUCAAUACUUUCCCGUCUUAUUCAAUUUCAUUUGAUAUCAUAAAAGUGUGAUUCAUGAUGUCACCUAAGUAAAUUCUAUAAAUUUCUUAAGCCAAGUUCCGCUACAUGUGAUAUGCUCAUUUUUUUUCAUAUAACGAAUCAAUUCCUUUGUAGACGUAGAAGAAGUUGAAUAGUUUGUACCUGAUAAUAUAGAGGGACCAAUUUAAUGGGCUUUUAUAUUCGCUUUUUAUCCCUUUUUGGUAUGCAAAUGAAUAUUUGAUACCUUGACAUCUCAUUUUGUGUAGGAGGUCUAUUAAAAUGAUUCUCUUUUUUGCUUUCUUUUCCUGUUUAACUUUUACUGUGAGGUUUUUGCUUUCUUUCUGGCUUUUCAAAGUCAGAAUAGUCAAUGUUUUCUUGGAUAUCUCAAUAACUUGCCUUCAGAUGCUCUGCUCCUGUUCCAAUGUAUGAAGCUAGCAAAUGAAAAGCCAAAUUCUGUCACAUUGGUUAAGCCGUUUUGUUAUCAUCAAUCUGAUCUGAUACAUUUGUCGUUAUUUUUUAUGCAUCUUGUUCCUAACUCUGUUCUUCAUUUUUACGACUAAUAGUUGUUACUUCAAUUACUUUAUUUAUCUUGCUGAUUAUGUUUCUUUGAUCUUAACAACGAUUAAAAAUUGCUGACCCGGGUUGGAAAUAUGGGAAAAGAACAAGUGAGACCAAUAGGGCCGCAGUUGAGUGUAACUUUUGUAAAAAAAGUUAUUAAUGGCAGAAUCUUUCGUCACAAACAACACCUGAUUGGUACUUGCAAGGACGUCACACGGUGUGAACAAUGCCCGGAUGCUCUAAGGGAAGAAAUGAAAAAAUAUGUUAAUGAAAAGAAGGAACAAAAAAGUCAGGCUUUACUUCAAUCGGAUGUGACUAAUAUUGGUGAUGAUAAAGAUGAAGAUAUGGAAGAAGGUGAAGCUACUGAAUAGUCACUUCCUUCAAAAUCACGAAAAUAGUCAUAGAAUGCAACAAUCAUAAAACCAUAAUCUUACUCAGCUUCAUCAACUAGGCAUGUAGCUACUUCUUUUCCCGUCCUUUGUAAGCAUUUAGUAUUCCCCCUUAAACCAUAAUGGUUUCUAUGAUUGUUGCAUUCUAUGACUGUUUUCGUGAUUUUGAAGGAAGUGACUAUUUAGUAGCUUCACCUUUUUCCAUAUCUCCAUCUUUAUCAUCACCAAUAUUAGUCACAUCCGAUUGAAGUAAAGCCUGAUGUUUUUGUUCCUUCUUUUCAUCAACAUAUUUUUUCAUUUCUUCCCUUAUAGCAUUCGGGCAUUGUUCACACCGUGUGACGUCCUUGCAAGUACCAAUCAGGUGUUGUUUGUGACGAAAGAUUCUGCCAUUAGUAACUUUCUUAUAAAAGUUACACUCAAUUGCUACCCUAUUGGUCUCACUUGUUCUUUUCCCAUAUUUCCAACCCGGGUCAGCAGUUUUUAAUCGCUAUUAAGAUCAAAGAAACAUAAUCAGCAAAAUAAAUAAAGUAAUCGAAGUAACAACUAUUAGUAGUAAAAAUGAAGAACAUAAUUAGGAAGAAUAUACGGAAAAAAUAAUGACAAAUGUAUCAAAUCAGUUGGGAUAUGACAUUUGAGAGGAACUCCACAAAUUGGUAUACUUCUAGAAGAGGAAAAGUCGUGCUCUGUCAGAGCCACAAAUUGGCAUUCAUCACGACCACUAUCAUCUCUCCCAGUUCAUAUCAUUAUCUUCUUCAAUAUCCCUCCAAUUCACCCGUACAAUUUUUGAUAAUUCUCACAUAAUUCAAUCAAUCUUCGCAUGGAACACAAUGAUGAGAGCAUAUUCCCCAGUAGAGUCUCUGAAACUCUUCGAACAGUUUCAAAAAAUCGGAUCAAAACCAGAUAAAUUCACAUUCGCUGUCGUGCUAAAUGUUUCUGGGCAUUGUUUGAUGAUUGGAACGGGUGGAUCAUUGCAUUCCAUGGCUGUGAAGUCGGGUUUUGGUUCAGAUUUACAUGUGAACAAUACCAUUUUGAGAAUGUAUGCUGGAUUGGUGUGAUCAGGUUUGCAAGACAGGUGUUUGAUGAAAUGCUUGAGAGGGAUAUAGUUUCUUGGAGUUCAAUGAUGGCUGCUUACGUUCAUUGGUAUGUAUAUUUGUUUCAGUUAUUUGUCAAAAACACAUAUUGACUUUUAUACGAAUUUCACACCCCAAUUAUCACAAUCUAUGUAUUAGGGAUCAUAUAGCUGAUUUUAACUACUUGUGAUUCAAGCAUGAUAGUAGUAAUUGUUGUCUUAUUAUUUACAGUUUCUUCUUCUUUCUCCUUCUAAAAGAGAUUUCAUGUAUCUAUUGAUUACUCUGGAAUUAGUACAUUAUUUAUGAUUUGUGAACCCGACAAGUGUGCGAAGGCUGAGAGAUUCCAUAGCAUUAUGUGGAAGUUGUUUAAGAUGAUUAUUAUAAUGGGAAUGAAUAGAAUUACCAAACUGUAAGUAGAUUUUGAGCAUGACAAGUUUACUACUUUGUGGAAACGAGUUCAAGUAUGGUUUUGUGAGGAAUUUGUAAGUUAACCGUCUUUUGAUAGGUCUGACACAUAAUAGGUCACAAUUUUUAUGAACAAUGCUAGCUUGUAACCUUGUUCGUUAUGCUUCAGAAAUUUAGUGCCAUGGUAUUUGUGGUUCUCUUGAGCAGAUAUCUGUGAUCUAAUACUCUUAGUGAACUUUUUAAAAUUCAUCCCAAAUGUCGAUUGUGAAUACUUGUUUUGUACCAUAAGAAGAAACCAGUAUUACUAUUACUUGGAUAUUUUAGCUUGAAUAAGGAGUUCCAAACUUGUUCACUAGUCUAACUUUUUUUCUUUUUCCUUCUUGCUGCAAUACUGCAAUAGAUUGUUAAACGAUGCCUAGGGUUCAUAUCUGAAAGGAUCAAUAAGGUGUUGAGCCUUUAAAAUUGUGAAAGCUGCAUACUCUCCUAAAUGAUCAGGGAUUAAUAAUGAUGGAAAAAUUUUGGGGUUGGAAUUGUCUCUUUUAAAUUGGAAAGGAGCAUGUACUCCUGAAAAAUAAGGAAGUAAAAAUGGAGAAAAAUUUCAUGGUUUAGAUUUUGGUAUUUAUCUUGGAAAGGUCCCGAUGACACUCUUUAAAAUGGGGAAUUAACAAAGAAGGAAAACUUUCAUGGUUGGGAUGUGAGCAACACUCCCAGCCUUUUGUAUUUAGGUAUGCUGGUCUCACUACUGUAUUUGUUUACUUUUGCAUACAUCAGAGCAUGUUAGAUUUUUUAUUUUUAAUUCUGGAAUCUCUAUGUACAUUCAUGUCCAAUAAAAACACUAAGCUUUGAAACCCAAUUUUUGCAAACCAAUCUUUGGACUUUUUACCUACAAAACUUUUGGAAAGGAAGCUAGUUCAUGACUCCAAUGGUCGUGAGUAUUCUAAAACUAACAAGCUAAAGUGGAUUAUGGACAGUAACUUGGUCUAAUAGUCUAACAUUGCUGCUGUUUAGUUGUCCGGAUUGCAUAUGGAUGGAUUCCCAUGUCAAAUUCUAACCUGAAAAAUAACGAGAAAUCCUAUAAUUAAGUUUCUUUUGAGAUAAACUUUGAAUUAAACAUUGAAACGACGACGACUUUAUAAUGAUACUAUGGUUAGUUUGUCUUUCCCAAGGGAGAGUAUAAGGGGUUUUGCAUUUAUAAAUAGGGAAUAAGGAGACAAUAGAGAUAAUAUAAUCAGGCUUGACUCUUUCUCUUGAUGAAGUCUCCGAACAUUUGGAUAUUUCUCCUCAUAGUUGAAGUAAUGACAACAAUUCUACUUGUUCUCCCUGCAGAGGUCUCCAACCGUUUUGUCAAUACUUUCUCGUCUUAUUCAAUUUCAUUUGAUAUCAUAUAAGUGUGAUUCAGGAUGUCACCUAAGUGAAUUCUAUAAAUUUAUUAAGCCAAAUUCCGCUACAUGUGAU
rnacentral:lncRNA from 1 species